rnacentral:lncRNA from 1 species
AAAGCAAACAAGCAAGGGAAGUUUAACAGCGUCUUUCUGCCCCUUUCACCCCACCCAGACUACCGGCACUAGGACAGCGUCCAACCAAUCAGUGCACUGGUUUAGUAAUCACGCGCCCUUAGUCCCAGCAUCACAGGCUCUAGAUUCAGCCACCUCUGAAAAGAACACCCAUGAGCGCAUGAGGCUUUGGAGGACGUCUAGACCCAAACCAUCACAACCGUCUUGCUCCGGGUCCUUGCGCUUGAGCAGCAGGCGGCGAAACCACUGAGCUAAACCCCCGGCCCCUUUUAAUUCAUUUCUUUGACACCAGGAGAUUUCUACAUUCAGACUCUACUUUGCGUCCUGCCACUGAGAUGGAGGAUGGGCGUGCCUCGUCUCUGACUCUGAGAUGAAUGAAGCCGAAGACCCCACAUAUGUCAAAUGAUUGAAUUGAAUUCGAGCCCCAGGUAGAGGGGCUCUUGCCUGCUCCUAAAUUGAUGAAUGCACAUGGACACAUUCCAGCCACCUGAUAUUGACAAAGAAACCAACAACGCAUACUGCAGGAGAGACGGCUUCUUUACAAGUGGUGAAGGGAGAAUAGGCCGUACCCUAAAGUCAAAAUGGUUCAAAGAUCUUGGCUGGCUGGGAGAGAAAAUAGAUGAAAAUAUUGAAGGCACAGGCAUCGGCAAGGACCUUCUGAGCAGAAAAGUAAUUGAACAAGAAGGAACAUUGAGAAUCAAUAGAUGAGAUUCUCUCAAAUUAAAAAGCUUCUGCACAGCAAAGGAAACACGGAGAGGAAAGGGAUAAGGUGCAGAAUUGUAAGACUUUUGCCAGCUACACGUUUUUGUCAUGAAAAUGAAAGAAUGAAGACAUCAUCCACAGGAAGCCUUCUAAAUCGCUGGUGGGAAUGCAAACUAGUAAAAACACUAUCGAAAUCAGUGAGCAGAUUCAGCAAAUGACUAAAAAUUAAAUGUCUAUUUUACUCAGGUAGUUGCCUAUUAGGAAUCUCCUGAAAAGAAGUAGGACAGGUACAUCCAUACCCAUGUUUACAGCAGCACAAUUCGUAAUGUAAAUUUUGCAUGUGGCCUUCAUAUGCAUAAAAGGACAACGGAGGAGGAAAAUGUGCUAUUUAUAGACAAGGCAGUACCACCCUGCCACAGAGGAUGCACUGCAGCCUUUGGGAAGAAAUGGAUGCAGGGCGGUGCGUCCCUGCCGCUCCUGCCUGCAGCCUCGGGAGGACUGGCGGCCUUGGAGGGCUGCGAGGCGCGGAGCUCGCCUGUCCCCAGCGGCUACAAGAGUCAAGUCAGAGGACUGUAUGAUUUUAAUCUGCCCGGAGAAGAACUGUGGAUCUACAGCACGGAGACUGGACGAUGGAGGAAAACGCUACCUUCGGCGCCGGGAAGGG